rnacentral:tRNA from 1 species
GGCCCAUUAGCUCAGUUGGUUAGAGCGUCGUGCUAAUAACGCGAAGGUCGCAGACCUGCAUGGGCCA